GGGGUAUUAGCUCAGCUGAUUAGAGCGCUUCGCUGGCAGCGAAGAGGUCAGGAGUUUGAAUCUCCUAUACUCCACCA
rnacentral:tRNA from 2 species